rnacentral:rRNA from 1 species
AUUCCAGCUCCAAUAGCGUAUAUUAAAGUUGUUGCAGUUAAAAAGCUCGUAGUUGGAUUUCUGGCAGGAGCGACCGGUCACACACUCUGUGUGUGAACUUGCGUUGUCUCUGGCCAUCCUCGGGGAGAUCCUGUUUGGCAUUAAGUUGUCGGGCAGGGGAUACCCGUCGUUUACUGUGAAAAAAUUAGAGUGUUUAAAGCAGGCUUAUGCCGUUGAAUAUAUUAGCAUGGAAUAAUAAGAUAGGACUUCGGAACUAUUUUGUUGGUUUGCGUUACGAAGUAAUGAUUGAUAGGGAUAGUUGGGGGUGCUAGUAUUCAGCGGCCAGAGGUGAAAUUCUUGGAUUCGCUGAAGACUAACUUAUGCGAAAGCAUUCACCAAGGAUGUCUUCAUUA